rnacentral:rRNA from 1 species
CCAAUAGCGUAUAUUAACGUUGUUGCAGUUAAAAAGCUCGUAGUUGAAUUUCGGAAUCGACGGAUUGGUCGCGCCUUCGGUGUGUACUGGUCUUGCCGGUUUCUCCCUUCUGACGAACCACGAUGUCAUUAAUUUGGUGUCGUGGGAAAUCAGGACUGUUACUUUGAAAAAAUUAGAGUGUUUAAAGCAGGCAUUAGCUUGAAUACAUUAGCAUGGAAUAAUGAAAUAGGACGUUUGAUCUUAUUUUGUUGGUUUCUAGGAUCGACGUAAUGAUUAAUAGGGAUAGUUGGGGGCAUUAGUAUUCAAUUGUCAGAGGUGAAAUUCUUGGAUUUAUUGAAGACUAACUACUGCGAAAGCAUUUGCCAAGGAUGUUUUCAUUAAUCAAGAACGAAAGUUAGGGGAUCGAAGACGAUCAGAUACCGUCGUAGUCUUAACCAUAAACUAUGCCGACUAGGGAUCGGAUGAUGUUAAUUUUUUAAUGACUCAUUCGGCGCCUUACG